CUUCACUCCUCUGUGGAGAGAGACACAGGGAUUCCUGACCAAGCUGCCAUGGAUCCUUCCCUCCUCCAGGUCUGCUAACUCCAGGCCCUCCCUGUCCAGCCACGUUGUCUGGAGGCCACCUGGCAGUCUCAUCUGGGUUGGGAGGCGUGGGGUCUCAGAGCGGGAGGAGAGAACCUCGUGGUGGGGGGAGCUAGCAGUGAGGGAGUGGGCUGUGGGGAGUCUGGGUCCCACCCCCGGGACUCUGUCAGUGGCAGGGUAGGGGUACCCAGAGCCAUGGCAGGAACCACCCCCUGCCCGCCCCCGACUAGAGGCUCAGCUUCCCUGCGUGCACCUAGCUCAGGAAGCCUUCCUUUCUAGUCUCUACAGCUGUUUCCCUCUUUUCCCAUCUCAUUCUUCCCUCUUCAUUUCUGGCCUAUCUUUUAACAUCUCCAUCCCUUUGAUGCCUCAUCCAUCUCCUCUUCACCGUCUUGUCUUUGCCUGUUCCCUUUUCUGCUUCUCUGCUCCUCUUAAGGCUGGGUUUUCCUCCUGCGUCUCCUCUGUGCGCCUGUGAGUGUCCCCUGUCUGCUCAUCCUCUCUCCCUCUGUCCACCUGUUUCUCUUUCUUCCAGCGUUUCUCCAUCUCACGCGCUGCCUCUGUCAUUUUCUCUCUUUCUUCGUCUUUCUCUCUCUCUCAUUGUUCUGAGACAUAGCAGUGCCUGGCCCAGCGGGGACAACAUGUUUCACAGACAAAUCAUCCAACAAAAGAGAGGAGGAACGUGCUUCAGUAACUCUGGACUUGGCCAUGUGACUUUCUUGGGCCAAUGGGACAUGAGCAAGCAUGAUACCAGCAGGGAUUUGAUUCUUCCUCCACCUCAGCUGAAAGGAUUCAUCUUGCAGCACGGCCCACCUUGGAACCCUUUGUGUUUGCUGAAACUUUCUUUGUGAUUAUUCUUAUGUCACUGCAUAGCAUGUAAAUGUAUCACACCCCCCCCCCACCCAUUAUUAUUAUCUCCUAGUAUGCACCAGGCACUGGCCAUAAAUUAUUUCUAAUCAUCAUUAAAACUCUACCACGGUUAUCCUCCCUCUAUGGAUAGGAAAACUAAGGCUUGGAGGUUGAAGAGGUCAUGGAUCUUGUCCAAGGUCACUAAACUCAUAAAUGUCACAGUCAAAAUUUGAAUCUAGAUAGAGUUGUCAGCUCCAAAGAAGUUUGCUCAGUCAGUUCUUCCCCAAAUUAGCUUUUUAUCCAAAUUUGCUGAGAAGCUUUUUAAAAAUACAUCUUCUUUACAACAAAGCCAGAGAAAGAAUAAGGCAGCUCUCUGCACAACAAUAUGGUGCUCGUAUAUGCCUAGAACAUCUCCAGGAAGAAGGGCCGGUACAGGACCAGGUCAGCCUGUCCUCAUUACAUCAGCAGGGUGAGCCAAGGGAGGUUGCCUAAAAAUUCAACCCGACUUCUGGCCAUCCUAUGAUCUGCCUCCCUCCUCCGCCUUUGUUCAAUUCAGCAGGAUCCCACACGGAGAUCUGCCCCAGUGCACCCUUGGGAUGUAGUGACAGAAACUCCUGCUUACUUAAAAAAGGGUCCUCUGCAAACUGUGCCGAAGAACAAGGGCCAAAAUAAAACAAAGAGGGGAUUUCGUUGUUCUUCUCCUUACC
rnacentral:lncRNA from 10 species